AUGCCAAUGGGCAGCAGCGCCGCCAUGCCCGCCCUCCCUCCCGGCUUCCGGUUCCACCCCACCGACGAGGAGCUCAUCGUCCACUACCUCGGCAGGCAGGCCGCGUCCAUGCCCAGCCCCGUGCCCAUCAUCGCCGAGGUCAACAUCUACAAGUGCAACCCAUGGGACCUCCCCGGCAAGGCCUUGUUCGGGGAGAAUGAGUGGUACUUCUUCAGCCCCCGGGAUCGCAAGUACCCCAACGGCGCGCGCCCCAACCGCGCCGCCGGGUCCGGCUACUGGAAGGCCACCGGCACCGACAAGGCCAUCCUGUCCACGCCGGCCAACGAGAGCAUCGGCGUCAAGAAGGCGCUAGUGUUCUACAGGGGCAAGCCGCCCAAGGGCGUCAAGACCGACUGGAUCAUGCACGAGUACCGCCUCACAGCCGCCGACAACCGGACCACCAAGCGCAGAGGAUCCUCCAUGAGGCUGGAUGACUGGGUGCUGUGUAGGAUCCACAAGAAGUGCGGCAACUUGCCCAACUUCUCCUCCUCUGACCAGGAACAAGAGCAUGAGCAGGAGAGCUCCACCGUGGAGGACUCGCAGAACAACCACACCGUAUCGUCGCCCAAGUCGGAGGCCUUCGACGGCGACGGCGACGACCAGCUCCAGCUGCAGCAGUUCCGCCCCAUGGCGAUCGCCAAGUCGUGCUCCCUCACCGACCUGCUCAACACCGUCGACUACGCCGCGCUCUCGCACCUCCUCCUCGACGGCGCCGGCGCCUCGUCGUCGGACGCCGGAGCAGACUACCAGCUGCCGCCGGAAAACCCACUCAUCUACUCGCAGCCUCCAUGGCAACAAACGCUACACUAUAACAAUAACAACGGCUACGUGAACAACGACACCAUCGACGUGCCUCAGCUACCCGAGGCGCAUGUAGAUGACUACGGCAUGAAUGGCGAUAGGUAUAACGGCAUGAAGAGGAAGAGAUCCAGCGGCAGCUUGUACUGCAGCCAGCUGCAGCUCCCGGCGGAUCAGUACAGCGGCAUGCUGAUCCAUCCGUUCCUCAGCCAGCAGCUGCACAUGUGA
rnacentral:rRNA from 1 species